AUUGAACGCUGGCGGCAUGCCUUACACAUGCAAGUCGAACGGCAGCACGGGUGCUUGCACCUGGUGGCGAGUGGCGAACGGGUGAGUAAUAUAUCGGAACGUACCUUAUCGUGGGGGAUAACGCAGCGAAAGCUGCGCUAAUACCGCAUACGCCCUGAGGGGGAAAGCGGGGGACCGUAAGGCCUCGCGCGAUUAGAGCGGCCGAUAUCUGAUUAGCUUGUUGGUGGGUAAAAGCCCACCAAGGCGACGAUCAGUAGCUGGUCUGAGAGGACGAUCAGCCACACUGGGACUGAGACACGGCCCAGACUCCUACGGGAGGCAGCAGUGGGGAAUUUUGGACAAUGGGGGCAACCCUGAUCCAGCAAUGCCGCGUGAGUGAAGAAGGCCUUCGGGUUGUUAAAGG
rnacentral:rRNA from 1 species